GGGGAGAGUCGGGUUAUCUGUUAUUUGUAUAAAUUAAGCCUCAAAACUCAGGCGUUUGCAUGGAUCAUCGCUGCAGUUUGUUCUGAAUUGCACUUCAUCUUGUCCAUGAAAUGUGAGCUUUUUGUUUGAUGUGGUGUGAAUUGAUAACUCACGCGAGUAAUUAAUGAGCCUACUUGUUUUCUCCUAGGACAGAAUGACUUGGAAGAUGAUGGAGCUGCUCAGUCAAGCGGAAUGUGAAGUCUUUCCUCUUCAGCUCUGUGGAUUGCAUUUAAGAAGAAACCUUAAGUGGCUCCUUCUGGCCGAUGAUGGAUGAAGACCAGGUUCUUCUGCUCGGAUUCCAAAGCCCCGUGUAAUCUGACCCCAACCUACCGCAUCUAAGCGUGUUCCCCACACUCUCACUAGACGUCGUGGAACGUCUCUUCAAGGCACUGGCCUGGGUUCCAGGGGAAUCAAAACACGAGGAAGCUCCAGCACACCACUAGAGCAUCAAGCCCGGCUGUGGCCAUCUGAGGGCCACCAGGAUGAUGGAGAAGGGAUGACCCAAUCCCCCGGCUGGGCUUGCGUGUUUUCCUCUUGGAUGAAAGGAUGCUAAGUAUUAGGUUUGGCUGCCCCGCACCCCCACCAAGGCCCCGAAAUGGUCUGGGGUGGGAUCAGUCUCAUACUCACCAUACUCUGGGCUGGAACUUGCUCUAAGAUGGGAACUGUGUCUUUAUGUUUCCAGAGACUUGUGCCGUGCCUGGCUCAGAGUACACACCUAUUGGCUGAUGAAUAAGGAAUAAAUGAAUGUGUGCCGUUUAAGCAAAUGGAAGAUGCAAUGGCUUCUGGCUCUCAAUAUCACACUAUUUUUAUGGAAAUGUUGCAGUAGAAGAAUGUUUCAGCUCACAGAAGAAAAUUCAACCUGAUUUGCAUGGUAUUGUAACAUGGAGAUGAAAUUUCCCCACUUGCCUUAACUACUGGUGGAAACUCCUACAGCCAGCAACGAACUUUGCUUGUUCCCUUCCUGUGACCCUUAUCAGUCUGUCUGGUAAGAUACAUAGUUGUGCGCAUCUUAUCACAUCUUAGACUGCUUUCAUAUUUACUGGUUCUUUAUGUAAAUGUUUUCUUCAGCCCUUGCUUUGAAGGUCAGGAGACUUGGAUUUGAAUGCUGGCUUCACUACUACUAGCCGUGAAAAGUUGGACAAGUUAUUUCCUCUCCCUUAGCUUUAGUUGUCGCAGCUGCAAAAUAGGGAGAAUAACGUUUCUGCCUCCAUGGGUUGAUUGAAGAUAAAUGAGACACCACUUGUGACAUGCUCAGCAUGAUGGCUGGCUCAUCGUAACAACCGAGAAGUGUCAUCUGUCAUUAGUCAUGAUACUCUUGGUAGAACCAAGAUUUCACCCUAGAUCUUUCCUCCUCAGGGAGGAACUCUGAGUGUCUGCUCUCAGCCCAACUCUAAUUGUACUGCUGAAGCCCAAGCUCCCUCUCCCAGGGCCGCAGAUGCUUCAGGUCUGCAGCCUUGCCACAGCGUCACUCUGCUCUGCUACUUUUCCAUGUCACGGAGUCAGUGCAAUGUGCCGAUAGAUUUGUAUAAUGAAGACUUGAGUCCCUUGAAUGACUCAAGUUCUUGUAUUAGGAAGAUUAAGCUAACCUCAGGCUGUUCCUAACCUCUCUUCCCCAUUCUCUCUUCCCCAUCCUCAGCCCCUCAGGAGGUCCAGAUGGAAAAAUGUGUUAUUGUCCAUCCAACAACAAAUAUUUCUGAGCGAUGACUUUGCUCAAGAUACCACGCUGAGCCCAUGGCAUUUAAACAGGAGAGUGAGGCACAGUCUUUGCCUUUCAGGACCCUACGGUCCAUGUUGCCAAGAUGGGGUGCAGUGUUAAAAGGCAGCUGACAACACUGGAGGGUUCUAAGUGUUAACGGGGUGGUGCAAAGGAAAAUAGGGUUGAAGGAAAGGAAAGAUCAAUGUAGCUGGAAGAGUCAGGUCUGGGGCUGAUGGCCCUUGGCCUCAAGCAAGACCCUGAAGAGGAAUUUGCUGUCUUGGUGUUCUCCAUGUUGGAGAAAAGAAUACUUCCUUUGUUGAUUGACUCUAGUAGGGAUUAAAGAAGAUUUAUACCAAAUUGAAACAAGCAAAAUCUGGAAGUGAGCUCAAGAAGGUGCAGUGAUUUAUGAAUCUCACCUUGAGAUCUUCAUUUUAAAGAUGAUCAGCAUGAGCAGGCCUUGCCUGAAGGCAAAUAUUAACUAGUCUAAUUAUUGGACCUAAAAAGCAAUUCCAGUCUUGAUGAUGUUUGUAUCCUAUUUUACACAAAGACUAGAUGCACUAAAUCUAUAGCUCUUUCUUUCGACAUCAAGAGUCUGCGUAAAAAUGUUGGCUUUAAUAAUAUUUUUAUUAAAAUUACAUAAACACAGAAAAAUUCACUGGUCAUAAAGUACAGCUUUGUGCAUUUACUCCAGUGGACACACCUGUGUAACCACGGUUCAGUUCAAGAAAGAGAACAUUUCUCUCCCAUGCUCCCUCAUAGUCAUCAAAGGUAACCACUUUCCUGACUCCUACAGCAUCGAUUGCUUUCACCUGUUUUUGAACUUUAUGUAAAUGGAACCACCCAGUACCUAUCAUUUUACGUCCAGUUUCUUCCUCCCAACAUCACAUCUGUAAGAUUCACAUGGGAGUUGAUUCACUUGCUGUGCUGUAUCGUAUUCCAUAAUAUGAGUACAGCACAUUUUGUUUAUCCAUUCUACUGUUGAGGGACAUUUGAGUUGUUCCUUCUUUGGGCUAUUAUAAGUAAUGAUGCCAUAAACAUUCUUAUGCCUACACUGUGCACAUUUAGGUGCAUUUUUAUUUGUUAUAUACCCUGGAGUAGAAUGACUGGAUCAUAGAGUAUGCAUCUAUUCCAUUUUCGUAGUUAUCAUCAAAAAGCUUUUCCAAAGUGAUUGCAUGAAUUCACAUUCCCACCAGCAAUUUAUGAGACUUACACACAUCCUUGUCGACACUUGAGAUUAUCGUCUUUUAGUUUUAGCCAUUUGGAAGGUAGGUAGUAGGGUCUCUUGGUGGUCUUAGUUUUUAUUUCCCUGAUGGUGGAGAUCGAGCAUCUUUUUGCAUGUGUAUCAGCUAUUUGGAUAUCUUCUUUUGGAUAAUAACUGUUCCAAUUUUUUGCCCAUUUUUUAAUUGCAGUGACUGAUUUUUCAUUAAUUGAAUUGUCAGAGUUCUAUACAUAUUCUGCAUGUAUAUGGAUUUGCCAGAACUUCAUAGAGUCUAGUUAUUGCAGAUGUCUUCUCUCUGGCAGUCUUGGCAGCUUAGUGGUUGGCGAAGGCCUAAAGGGAAAAGGAAGAUGAAUUUUGGGCUCCCUUCUCCAAAAUUCCUUUUUCUCAGGGAUUUCGGUCCAAGACCUUGGUGUCUGGGUGGCCUUUUAAUGACUCCCAAACAUGUGAGUGUGUGUGUGCCUAAUAUUUUAUGCAGAUUUCCUCCUAGUUUUUUGCAUCAGAAGGGUUGUUCUAAUAUAAGCUUUUCCUCCAUCUCCAGAAGCAUAAGGUUAAGAACAAGACUGGUCAUUUUGGGCAUUUCAAAGGAAAACUGUAGCAUGGAGAAGCAUGUGUGAAAUCCUAAGGGCAAUCACCUCAACAUUUCACACACACACACACACACCUUUCCUGGGCUUGGGCUGAGGUGGGGUGGAGCUGGGACAAGGAAAGGAUGAGAAAAGUUUAGCCAGUUGCUGUGCAGGGUUCUGCUCUCUGACCCUCGGGCCUCUCCCCAGGAGAGGGAGUUAAAAUAAAUUAGAGAAAAGUUUGGGGGUCCCAAAACAGUGUCUUUAUACCCCAAGAAUUUGGGCCUCUUGAGAAGCCCCCAUCCAAUGGAACAGCGAAUUAAAAAAAAAACGCCAGUGCUAGACUGAGAGCCAGCGAACAGCUCUCAGGUCCUGUGUACCCAAGGGCCCCAGCACCAUGGGAGAGGGCCUUCCAAAACCUGCCUACUCCCCAAAGCAAGGCACACAGCUAGGCUGAAAAUGGGCCAGCAGACUGGAGGCAGCCUCCGGGUUGAGAUAAGGAGGGCACAGCCUAUGGGAGUCCUAUUGAUGGGAGCCCAUGGCCUGCCUGGUGGUAGCAGCAUUUGCUAUAAAGACCUAGGUUGAUGCCCAAGUCCAGGCAAGAUGGACUCAGGGAGGCCUGGGGCAAGUACGCCCAUCAAAUGUCCCUCCUGACAGGCUGGCUUUGCCCUGGUUCUUAAGAACACCUCGCCCGCCCCACACCCAGCCUCCUCCUGGAACUUACUUCAGGUCUAGAGAGAAGAAGAAAAGGAGCAAGGAUCUGAGGAGAAGCCUGAAUUAACAAAAUAAGCAUCUAAAGGAGACCAACUUUGAAACUGGAGGGGACUGAAUCUCUUGGGUGAUGAGAUUUAAUAUCCCAUUAUUGUUGUGGGUGGAAUUGUGUCUCCUCAAAAGAUAUGUUGAUGUCCUAACUCCUGGUACCUGUGAAUGUGACCUUAUUUGGAAAUAAGGUCUUUGCAGAUGUAGCCAAGUUCCGAUGAGGUCAUUAGGGAGGGCCCUAAUCCAAUAUGACUGGGUCCUUAUAAGAAGAGACGAGACGCAGACACAGAGACCCACAGGGAGAACACCAUAUGAUGACAGAGGCAGAGAUUGGAGCCAUACGUCUACGAGUCAAGGACCGCCAAGGAUGACAGGCAGCCACCAGAAGCAAAGAGAAAGGCAGGGAACAGAUCCUCCACUAGAGCCUUAAUGGGUUUCAUGACCCUGCUGACACUUAGAUUGCAGACUUCCAGCCUCCAGAACUAGGAGACAAUACAUUUCUGUUGUUUAAAGCCACCUAGUUGCGGGGGGUGGGGGGGUCCUUUGUUAUGGCAGCCUAACACCAUGGCUACAACCACUAACUGGGAGCUGCUGAACUAAGCUGAGUUCAAUUAUGGAAAAGGAAGGGCAAGUCUCUGUAACUGUCCCCAAGUUUUAUAUUACACUCAGACUUUGAGUCUAUAAUUCCCCUCAAAGGUAGCCUUUCAUGUCACCUUUGGAUCGGGUGACCCUGUGUCCUCAGGGUGCGGAUCUGCCUCUCUCCGUGGAGGAGUUCCCCAAGUUUACGUCUGCACCAGUGUCAACUGCCUUCUGUCCGUCAACACAGCGAGUGUCAGAAGGCUUUUGUUUUUCUGGUUCCAGUCUCAUUAAGCUGGGCUGAACUAGCCUGACUCAGAAUUUCUACCGACUGAGGAAACAGAUACGGUUUACAACCAUGUGUACUUUGCAGUAAAAAAUAACUCCGGCCAAGGUUUCAUCAGGAAGAGACUUGCUGAAGUUACUCAGUGCCAUUACGGUGUUUUCUCCUGUGACAGUGCACCAUCAAGCUCGGCCUGUAGGGAUGAUUGAAGGGCUCUGGGGAGGUUCCUCAGUUAAAUUGCCCUUAUUGCUUCUACGUGUCUGAGGUUCCAUUAUGUAUCAUCAUUCCUUUGGUUCUCGAAGGUGCUGUCCAUUUUCCAGUUAAGGCACAAAUAUCUCCUGAGAAAGUUCACACUUCAGCUCUUAGCACCAGCCAACAGUUUAUUGCUGUUUUCUGUCCUGGAACCUAGAAGAGCCGCUGAGGGUUUAACACGGACGGCCACGGCUGGCUUCCCGGUUUGGCCCAGGGCUGGGUCACCAUCAUCCUCAACAGCCAAUCUUUAAUGACCAUCCACCUAGUAACAAUGACAAUUAACUUGGAAAUCUUGAACUGUAUUUUCAAAAUAAGAAGGAGUUCAUUAAUAAAAUGACGAGUCCUGUCUUCCCCAUCCACUCUGGGUCAGCCGGUCACUAGCUGUGUGACCACUGGCAGGUUGCUCCUCAUCUGUGAAAUGGGCUAAUAAUGUUACCUCCCUCCUGAGGAGGUUACAAGAUGCAAAGGAAAUAAAUUCUCUAAAGCGCGGAGCCCAGGGCUUAGCCCAGAGUAAACAGUCAGUGAAUGUUAGUGUAUCAUCAGUGUGUGAAUUUUCUCUCCCUAGGUUAGUGCAUAGUUGAGUUUCUUCAUGCUGUGUUGGUUUUGUGCUAAAAUCAUGUGUGUCAUUCCACAGAGUGAUCCAUAUGAAUUCAGAUAUUAGUCCAUCAAAAAGAGCAAUAAAGACCCCCUAUAUUGGCCAGAGCCCACAUGAUGCUUCCUAUUAUGUAUUCUUCAUAUUUGAAAAUACACAGAAGUAAAAUAAAGCAUCAGGAUAAAAGAAAUCCUGAAACUGUUUUUAAGCUUAUAUAACACGUAGAUAGUGUUUACUGUAUGCUUUAUAAAUAUGAACUCAUUUAAUCCCCAUACGAUUCCAUCAGGUAAAUUGUAUUAUCCCCAUUUUACACACGAGGAAACUGAGGCACUGGGGGUUAAGUCAUUUCCUGAGGUCACAAAGCUAGUGUAAGAAUUGGAACCAGGAUUUAAACCAGACAUUUAGACCCCAAGGGCUGUUAACUGUUAUCCUAUGCUGUGAGCAUGCGUGAACACACACACACACACACACACACACACAGGCUUCUCCUUCCAUUAUGCUUCCAUUCACUUUCCUUGAAAAUGUAAGAUGCUCAGAAUUUUAUAGACAUUCCUGAGUGUAAUCACGUCUGGGGGGAUGGAAAGUAAGAUGUCCAGGAAAGGAAGAGGAGUGGAUUUUUAAUAAAGAGGAGCCUCUGCUAAGGUGUAAUGGUUUCUGGGAGGCAGAGAGGGUUGAGCAAGAAUUGCCGCUUCUGAAGACUUCUGACAACAUUCCUUCUCUCCACCCUCAAAUGCAGAAGCCCAUGAACGUGAGACAGCCAGGAAGAGUUAUCAGUGGCCAGCUUCCAGAUGAAAGGAGAGAAGAGGAAAAAGGAGAUUUUCAGAACCCAGUUGUGUUAAACGUGGUAACAGAGGAGCCUAACAGUGAAGGAGGCAAAAAAGAUAAGAGGUUCCUGCCCCUGGGGGCAAGGCAUUCAGUUGCCACAUCAAUGCAUGGGCACAGCAAGGGAUGAACGCAGCUCUGCAGAGGCCACAGACGACCCACUGGGGUAGUGAGCAGCCCUGAAGUGCCAAUGCUGUUACAAGUCCUGGGCCAGUUACAACUACAAUCCCCGCCCCGUCCCUGGCCCACUGUCUAGUGGGGGAGGGGGUGACCAUGAGAGAGCAAAUAGUCAUACUGCUACGGAAGCACAGAGCUGGUUCCACGCAGACAGAUCCUGGAAGAUGUUCCCAGACAGACGCCAUGUCUGCCAGGUCCUGAAGUGGGAGAGGGCUCCCAGGAACUUGCUGCCAUUGGGCAGAACUGAUGGGGAUGGUGGGGGGAGGAAGGGAAGUUUGGAAACUCUUCAGGACGUAACAUGGAGAAGACUGGACACCAAAUGGUUGUGGGAGUGAAGGUCGGACAAGGUCAAAGGCGGCCCCGAGCCUCUUGGGAAACCAGGAUGUACUGACUGAGGAGCUGGUAGACAUUCUAACAGCAGGUCUCCGCCACCGCCCGCCCGUCAAUUGCCCCUCCAUUCACCUUGCCGUCCAGACGGUGCUGGGGAGACACAAAGCAUCUUGAGUACUUCCUCAUUACCUCAUGGCAGUGAAAAGAAGAUGGAUUUUCCACCGCCUACUUCCUUCUCCAGUGGGUAAACAUAGAGCGUCCUCAGCGUUUCUGCAAGAGCAGGAGUUUGAAAAAUGCAGUGAGCUCAAUCGUGCAAGCUCCUGAACAGACAGCUGGAAGACCCGUUUGUAUUUGGCCAAGUGAUCUUCAGAAAGGAGAGAUGUGGCCUUCCUCAAAAAGGCUAUCUUCUACAAAUCUCGACUUCCCCAAAAUUAGCCUGACCCACUGGCGGAGUUGCCUGCCUGUGUUGGGGAGAUGGCUAGACUUGAGUCAGUGUGGUCUUUUUUGUUUUUUUGCUGAGGAAGAUUUUCCCUGAGCUAACAUCCAUGCCAAUCUUCCCCUAUUUUUUUUUUUUUUUUUUUUUAGUAUGUGGGCUGCCAGCACAGGAUGGCUGCUAGCAUAUUGGUGUAGGUCCAUCCCUGGGAACCAAACCUGGGCCACCAAAGCAGAGUGUGCUGAACUUAACCACUAGGCCACCGGGGCUGGCCCAGUGCAGUCUUUACCUGUUUACUAGAUCCUGGGUGCUGGGAGGGAGACUGCGUGUAGCUUGGGAAUGUUACGGGGAGGAAGUAAUAGAAAAGCAUAACGUGGAAGUAACCAUUGCUAGAAUCCUCAUUUGCACCCACAAAUAGGCUGUAAAACUGCCUUUGAGCCCAUGGAGAUGGGUAUUAAACACAGUCAUUCUUCACUGGUAUUGCCAUCGUGUGCAUGUUUGUGUGCGCACAUGCGCGCGUCUAACGUCAUUUCUGCAGCUGGUGGGGCCCAGGCUGAGGCAGAGAGUUCACACAGCAGGAAGACUGUCUUGCCUCAGUCGCUUGGAAAAAGAGAAAAGAGGGCAGAAAGCCACAACUCAACAAAAAAGAAUCUUCUAAAAGCGAGAAAGACGUUUUAAGAGAGCUCUUUUGACGUAGAACUCAGGAAGGACAACUCGUUUGUUGAGGCCGUCGGCUCAGUGUCCUGCUACCAGAAAGCCCAGUGAAAUACUGCACAGUACUGGAAAGAUUUUGGAAACAAAAUUCAAUUCUGCAAACAUUACGAGGCAUCUUCUGUGCGCCAGAAAAUGUACUAAGUUCCUGGGGAUAAAAAGCUGAAUUGGGCAUGACCCUUUACUUCAAGGGGUUUGGAUCUGGGCAAUUUAAGUACGAAGACUGUGCAAGAGAAUAUGACACAAAUGGUUAUUUCUGGGGAGUGGGGUUACAGCUAAUAUUAUUUUUAACUUUUCAGAAAAUCAUAGGAUACUGUAGCUGAGUAGCUUGGUGGCUGUGAAGUGAGUGGCUGGUGAGGAGAGUGAAGCCGCCUCUUUUAACCUCCAUGCUCUUCUUGUCUUCCCCAGGAGGGGAGUUUGAAUUUAUCUCUGGGAGUAGAUUUGCCCGAAUUGGUUCUUUGGUUAUUCUACAGGAAGCCGAUCCUGCUUUAUAGUGAAGAUGACCCAGCUCUUCUUACUCAGUUCUCUUUGCUGACCCAACUACACCUUGUGAGGGUUCCGUCUCUUCUCAGUCUACAAUCUUGACCUCCAGUAUUUCAGCCAUGUCCGUGGCGGUCCAUUCCUUCUACAUGCCGAUCAUUUCUCGGUCCACAUCUCCAGGUCCAACCUCUGUUCUGAGCACUAGCCUCUUAGAUUCCCUGCAAACCUUUCCCAAAUAUACCCUCCAGUCUAUUCUCCACCCCUCAGCUGGACCGGUGCUGAAAACCCUUUAGAGGGUUCUCAUUGUUCUAAGGAUAAAAUCUAAAAUUCUUAACAUGCCUACAAAAGCAUGCAUGACUGGCUCUUAUUCGCUUCUCCGGGCGCAUCUCCUGUGGCUCUGGCCUUCCUCCCUUUCCUACAGUUGGCCCAGCUCUUGUGCACCCCGGAGCCUCAAAUCCACCAUUUUCUUUAUCUGGAAUCAUCCAACUCAAUCAUCCUUCAGAGCUCAGCUAAAAUGUUGCGUUCUUCAGGGGGCCCUCUCUAAUCCCUUAGAGCCAUGUCAACUCUCAUUAUAUGCUCUGUGUCUUUAGCAGAGACAUGGAGAAGAACGAUUUGUAAAACGAUCUGUUUACUAUCUAUCUCCUUCAGAUUGUAGCAAUUACAGAUUCCAGCCCUACGGCCUAACACAGUGCCAGUUGCUGAGUGACGCUCUGUAGAUGCACUAAUAAAUGAGUGAGAUUAGGAAUUAGGGGGCUGAUUUUCUCUUCCUAACAUAACAUGAAUGUUUAUUUUUGCUCUGAACAGAGCUGAGUGUCUGCAGAUUAUUUUUUGUUUAUUGGAGGAGGACUAAGGUUGACGGGGAGGAGAAACUUUUUUCUCUCUCCGCAAGGCCCUGGUAGCGUUGCAACCUGGACUCUGGUGGGGGCACACGCUGGUUCCCUCUCUGGGGCUCCUGCUAAGGAGAGAGAUGCCCAGAAACCUGUGGAUGGUUUUGCCUCUUUGGGACCAUUAUUUGGUUUUAAACGUUUUUCUUUUCCCUUCUGUAAGUCCCUUCUGUUUUCCCAAGCCUUCUGUUAAACGUUGACCCUCACGGCUUGGUCAGGGCUGUGCUGGGAGGAGCAAAGAGAGGCAAAGCUGUAGGGGACAACACAGAGACAACUUGCGGUCAAGGGAGUGGCAAUCAGGAAUGAAUGGCCAGCUGAGGGGACAAGUGCCAGCAGGGAGAGGGCUGUAGAAAUGAGAUUCUUCAUCUGGAAUGUGCAGGCGUAUUUCCGGAGGGAACUGGACACCGCCUGGACUCCAUGAAGUUCCAUAGUGUGCCGCCAUUGACUCAUUGCCUGUCAGCUCCAAAUCCAUCCUUUUUGCCUUCUCUGUAAAAAUGGAUCUGGGCCCUUUAUACCAUUUCCUCUGCCGGCUGGCAUGUUGUUAAGUCUCGUCCGUAGAGGGAGUGGGGAGACGGGGCAGGAGGCCAGAGCUCUGCCUGCUGGUUGCUUUGCUCUUGCAGCCGGCUCGGCAUUCUGGGCCGUGCCUCCAGCACUGGGAUCCUGCCAUGCAGGGCAGCCAGCAGCACCCAGUGGUCUCCAGCCAGCAUCUCCUGGCACCCUGCUCUUUGGGUGGUUUUGUGGUGAAGUGCUUCUGUGGGACACCUUUCCCCACACGCUAGACAGUAGAUUUGCAGUAAGUUCCACUGGCAUGAUACCACAGUGACAGAGGCUGCCAUAGUGAGCCAUGGCCAUGCUCUCCCAAAUGGAGUCUGGGUCUCAGCCCACGGAAGGGGGAGGCUCAUCCUUGGGUGCUCUUUCUUGGCUCUAAGGGUUAUGGCUGCUCCUUAAAUCUCCUAUUCCUAUUUUCUUUUGUAUUUUCUUUACUUCUUACUAGUCAAUCCCUCAUUGCUCCAAAGCCUGUUGUAGUUAAUAAUUUUUUUUGUGUGAGGAAGAUUUGUCCUGAGUUAACAUACAUUGCCAAUCCUCCUCUUUUUUUUUUCUUUCUUGAAGAAGAUCAGCCCUGAGCCAACAUCUGCACCAAUCUUCCUCCACUGUGUAUGUGGGAUGCCUCCACAGCAUGGCUGAUGAGUGGAGUAGGUCCACACCCAUGAUCCAAACCCAUGAACCUGGGCCGCCAAAGCAGAGCACACGGAACUUUAACCACGUGGCCGUGGGGCCAGACCCAAUCCUUCUUUAUAUUAAACUUUCACUGUUUAAGUACUGCGUGGUUUCUCUCUCCUGAUUGGACCUAGACUGAUACACACAGGAUGGGGCUCAGACUCUGAGCACUUGGCUGACAAGGGAAGGUGUCUCUAGAAGACUGAGGGAAUUGGAGACAUUUGGGCUGUAUGUAUUUUUCCGAGUUUGUGCAAUGAACAUAUGACUUACAUAUGCAGAAAAAAGAAAAAAAUUUAAAAGUUUGAAAAAACGCAAUACAAGAAGCAAAGGGGACAAAAACAUUCAAAAAGACCCACCCCAGUGCGGUAGGUGUGUGGCAGAAACAAGUUAUGUGCUAAGGGGGGAAGUGCCUUAGAGGAGGUGAUGCUUGAACUGAAUGUAAAGGGUGAGUGGCAGGGGGCACUUUCCCAGGCAGACACAUGUGUGCACUGGUGUGGACACAGGACCAGGGAGAGCCUAUGUCAUGGGAAGCGGUCAGUCACCAGCUCAGUGUGGACGGCGCCUGUGGCGGUCAAAGGUGGAGCACCAGGUCUGGGUGAUGACAGCAAAGCCUCAUGGCUUCAUUUAAAAACUAUGGGGUGGGUGGGAAAGUGGACUCCGUUUGCCUUUUGGACCGACCGCAGCUGUGAGAAUCUUCCUUGCAGAUCUUCGACCAUCUCCAGCUAUCCUGGAGCUUCACUGACCAAGGGCCCUGGCUGCUGUGCUCUGAAAUUCAUCUCUGGGUUUGUACGCAAGGCCACACUUCCCACCUGGCUGCUCCCAGCCAAUGACUGGGAGAGAUACCGAUACUAAGGCAGGUGGGUUCCAAAGAGAAUUGGGAGCCCAUGAUGAGCAACUGGAUGUAGGACUCCCCGAUGAUGUUCCCUAGACUGCAGGGAGGUUAGAAUGAUGGGGUCCCUCUCCUUUACUGGGGGCAGAGUUGCAUAAAGCCUGGCUCGCUCCCAUCCCUUCCUAUUUAAUCCCACAGUCAUUUCCCCUAAGAAAAUCCUUCCAGGCCCAGCCCUGUCUUGGCGCCUGCUUCUUGGAGGACCCACAUCAGCUCCUGGACUACGCCUUCCUUCCCUUCCCUCUCCUCUCCAGCGACAGCCUUUGUAUAGGCGAGGCCGGCGAUUGUGGGACACAGCCUUCAUUCCCGCGUCUCCUGGGCAUUCUCCCCCUUCUGUCAUCCAGGCCCUUGGCCUACUCAGGUUUCCCUAAUGAACCCUGCAGCUUCUCCAUCUGGAAAGUCCCAAUUCUCCUGGACUCCGGGUCACCAUCCGAGUGUCACCUCCAUCUCUGUCCUCUUCUCGGGACGGGAAGGAGAGACUCUCCUGCCUGCCGCAGGAGACUUCAGAUUCCGCCUGCUUCUGUCCUUGGUGGCACCCGAGGGAAGUCUCCGCUGUAAGCUCUUUGGGGAAGGGACUGGAUCCUAUUCACGCAUCGCAUGCACGAUGGCAGGCAGAGCGCCCAGCUCCUGGUAGGCGCUUCCUCAGCGCUUGUUGAGUUCUUGGUUUCCAUCAGUUGGGACGUCCCAAAGAAAGCGCAGGAGGCGGCGGUCGGAGCAGCAGGC
rnacentral:lncRNA from 1 species